UAAAAAUUAUUGUUUCAUGAUUUAAUUAUUUAAUGUUUAAUAUUGUAUGAGUUUUAGAAUUAGGCAGAGGCAGGAGUUUUGAAGAUCUAAACUCAGGGUAGAGAUGCCCCUGUUUCUGCAGGUCUUGUUAUUAAGCAUUUCUGGAAAUGCUUAUGUCUGAGGAGCAUAGGCUGGGGUAUCCAUGUCUGAAAAUGUUAACUAUUUUAUCUUAUAGUCCUUCCAGAAAACUUAAUUUCCAAUUGAACAGCCAACGCUGCAUAUCGACUGAUGGGAAGUUCUACCACCUGCAAGUGGAAUGUCAACUACCACUCCAAAGGGAAAAAAAAACAGACUGUACUUCUCAGUGGAACGAGGGAAGACACUACUGGUCAAUGAAGUGCAAUCUCCAGGAGACCCAGGGAUCAGCUAAUGAUGAGACACUCUCUCCAAUGGCAUUUAUCCUACACAAGUCUGCAGGCAUAGGCAAAGAUAGCUUUACCAAAGCUGGACACUCUAGACUGGUGAAUGAAAGAAAAAUCUGUUUGACAAGCAGAAGAAAACUCCAUAUGAAGUAAUACUUCUGUUUGUGGUGGUACUGACAAAAUUGGAGGUUAAUACUAAAUGAACUGCAAAUAUUGAAGCUAUUCUGAAGAAGCUCUAGUGAGCAGUAGGACCCCAUCCUGGCUGCUUAAUCCUGCAGGGGUAGGUGCCUCUUUGAAUCUCCUUGGUACUUAACACCUGUAAUUGGUAAAAG
rnacentral:lncRNA from 1 species